GAACGGGUGCGUAACACGUGAGCAAUCUGCCGAUUUCUGGGGGAUAGCCGGCCCAACGGCCGGGUAGUACCGCAUACGUUCUCGAGGGGGAGUCCUCUUGGGAAGAAACCUCCGGGGGAAAUCGAGGAGCUCGCGGCCUAUCAGCUAGUUGGCGGUGUAAUGGACCACCAAGGCUAUGACGGGUAGCUGGUCUGAGAGGAUGGCCAGCCACAUUGGGACUGAGAGACGGCCCAG
rnacentral:rRNA from 1 species